rnacentral:rRNA from 1 species
UACAGAGGGUGCAAGCGUUGUUCGGAAUUACUGGGCGUAAAGAGCUCGUAGGCGGUUUGUCGCGUCUGCCGUGAAAGUCCGGGGCUCAACUCCGGAUCUGCGGUGGGUACGGGCAGACUAGAGUGAUGUAGGGGAGACUGGAAUUCCUGGUGUAGCGGUGAAAUGCGCAGAUAUCAGGAGGAACACCGAUGGCGAAGGCAGGUCUCUGGGCAGUAACUGACGCUGAGGAGCGAAAGCAUGGGGAGCAAACAGG